rnacentral:rRNA from 1 species
CUGACGAGUGGCGGACGGGUGAGUAAUGUCUGGGAAACUGCCUGAUGGAGGGGGAUAACUACUGGAAACGGUAGCUAAUACCGCAUAACGUCGCAAGACCAAAGAGGGGGACCUUCGGGCCUCUUGCCAUCGGAUGUGCCCAGAUGGGAUUAGCUAGUAGGUGGGGUAACGGCUCACCUAGGCGACGAUCCCUAGCUGGUCUGAGAGGAUGACCAGCCACACUGGAACUGAGACACGGUCCAGACUCCUACGGGAGGCAGCAGUGGGGAAUAUUGCACAAUGGGCGCAAGCCUGAUGCAGCCAUGCCGCGUGUAUGAAGAAGGCCUUCGGGUUGUAAAGUACUUUCAGCGGGGAGGAAGGCGAUAAGGUUAAUAACCUUGUCGAUUGACGUUACCCGCAGAAGAAGCACCGGCUAACUCCGUGCCAGCAGCCGCGGUAAUACGGAGGGUGCAAGCGUUAAUCGGAAUUACUGGGCGUAAAGCGCACGCAGGCGGUCUGUCAAGUCGGAUGUGAAAUCCCCGGGCUCAACCUGGGAACUGCAUUCGAAACUGGCAGGCUAGAGUCUUGUAUAGGGGGGUAGAAUUCCAGGUGUAGCGGUGAAAUGCGUAGAGAUCUGGAGGAAUACCGGUGGCGAAGGCGGCCCCCUGGACAAAGACUGACGCUCAGGUGCGAAAGCGUGGGGGAGCAAACAGGAAUUAGAUACCCU